rnacentral:tRNA from 1 species
GUGUUUAUAGCUUAUAUAGAGUUUAAUGCUGAAGACAUUAGGGAAUUUAUUUUUGAACACA